AUGGAGAUGGAUUGGACGGAGCACUUAAUUAAUCACAAAAUCGGUCCAAACCGGAACCGACCUGAAAAUUCCUAUAGCGGUCAAUUCCGGUUUCGACCCAACCAGUUCCGGUGGUGAGAUACGCAUUUGCACCUCUCUGUUCGUUGUGUCAGUGUAGAUUCUGCAAAUAAACAAGGAUGAAGAUGAAGAUUGCUUGCAAAUCUGCUUCUGCUGCUUCCUUGGCCUAUUUCCAUGGUGGUAAUCAUCUUCUUCCUUCUUAUUUGCCAUUGUUUUCCCCUUUUCUAUUUCAAUCAUGUCAUUUCUCUCAUCAUACUCCUGAUCGUCAAUUGUUUCUUCAAUCAGUUAGAGAACAAUCCAAAUUAGGGUUUUCCGAUCUCAAUCUCCCCCUUUCCCUUUUUCAUCAAUUGAACUCUUUGAUUCCUGUUCCUUCUGUUAUGUAUUUUAAUCAGCUAUUCACUGCGAUUCUAAAAUUGAAACACUUAAAACCUCAUUCCACCAUUGUUUCUUUAUCCAGAAACCUUGAAUUGUCUGGUAUCCGACCCGAUAUGCAUUCCAUUGGUAUUCUGGCCAAUUGUUACUGUCAUUUUGGCCGGGUCGAUUUCGGCUUCUCCCUUCUUGGUAAAAGGCUUAAGCUGGGCUAUUUCCUUGAUUCUGUUAUCUUUAACACUUUAAUCAAUGGCUACAUCCACUGUGAUAAGCUACCUCAAGCUGCUAUUUUGUUGGAUCAAAUUGUCAAGCUUGGUUUCCAACCCACUAUUGUUACAUUUGGUGCUAUGGUCAAAGGCCUUUGUAAGAUUGGUGAUAAUGCCGCUGCGCUCAGAUUGCUCACCAAAAUGCGAUCUGGAGGUCAUUGUAAGCCUAACCUUGUCAUAUAUAGCACUAUUAUUGAUAGUCUCUGUAAGGAUAGGUUAUUAAAAGAGGGUCUGGACCUGUUCUCUACUAUGAAAACUCAGGGUAUCAAACCUAAUGUUGUCACUUAUACCUCCCUUGUUCGAGGCUUCUACAAUUCCGGCUGUCCGGAUCAGGCUAAACACUUGUUGACUGAGAUGUUAGAGAACAACAUAACACCAGAUGUUAACACCUACAGCAUGUUGGUUGACAUGUUUUGUAAAGAUGGCGAUGUUGAUGAAGCACAAGUUAUUCUACAACUUAUGAUCGAAAGAGGUGUUACUCCCAACAUCAUUACUUACAAUGCUUUACUUGAUGGUUAUUGUUUGCGUGGUCAGAUAAAAGAUGCGAAAAAGCUAAUUGAUAUCAUGCACCAAAAGGGUUGUGAGCCUAAUCGUGUGAGUUUCACUACUAUGGUCAAUGGAUACUGUAAAGUUAGAAACACUGACAAGGCCCUCAAGAUAUUCCACGAAAUGUUUCAGAAAGGGAUGACACCUGAUGUCGUUACCUACACCACUCUUAUUGAUGGACUGUGCAAAGCAAGUAGACUCCCACUUGCACUCAAUCUAUUCAAGGAAAUGCAAACUCACGGAGUUAUUCCAAAUGUUGUCACAUAUAGUUCAUUGGUUGAUGGACUAUGCAGAAAUGCAGGGCUUGGCGAGGCAGUAGCAAUCCUCAAAGACAUGGAAGAUAAAGGCGUUAAGCCUAAUACUGUCACUUACAAUAUUAUAAUAGACAGCUUGUGUGAGGUUGGGCAGCUUGAAGAUGCAGCAAAGUUCUUCUCGGAACUUAUAUCCAAGGGUCUACAACCUGAUUGUAAAACAUACGGUAUAUUGAUUAAAGGCUUUUGUAAGAAAGGACUCAUGGAUGAAGCUAUUCAAUUGUUGAGGAAAAUGGAGGAAGACAGUUGCUCCGCUGAUGAUUGUGUCUAUAAUGUCAUCAUUAGAGGAUACAUUCAUAAUGAUGACUUGCCAAAUGCAUUACACUAUAGUGAUGUUAUGGUUAGCAAUGGGUUUGAAGCUGAUGCUCACACUUUCUCAUUGUUUGUUGGCCUCAUGUGUUCCGGUAACUUAAGUGAAUCAUCUAAAGACUUGCUGCAGAAGUUUCUUGAAUAACUUGAAAGAAGGUGAUUGCAACCAUGAUAUUCAAGAGUUUUGCUUCAGGUGAAUAUUAUAAGCCGGUUCUCUUUUGAAUCACUGAAACUGGCGACCCAAGGCUUCCUAACAAAGCUACUCGAGAAGGGUUUGGUUCCCUUUUUGGAGGUAUUUUACCUGACGGAACAAAAGUUGCUGUGAAACGAUUGGAUUCAUCAGGCCAAGGGAGGAAGGAGUUCCUGGAAGAGGUCAACACAAUAGUGGAUCUUCAACAGAGACAUACCACAAACACUUACCUGGAACAUACGCCGAAAGAUAAUUGAUGGUGUGGCUGUAGGACUUGAAUAUCUACAUGAGCACUGCAAGCAAAAUGUGAUCCACUUUGAUAUCAAACCUGAGAAUAUACUCCUGGCAGAAGAUUUCAACAUCAAGAUAUCUGACUUCUGCUUAGCAAAAAUGGUAGGCCAGGACCAAAGCCAAGAGUUAUGACAAUGGUAAGGGGAACACCGGGAUAUAUGGCUCCUGAGUUGAUUGCUGGUCAUGCCAUCUCUGUUAAGGUUGAUGUCUACAGUUUUGGGGUUCUUCUCCAGGAAAUUGUGUGUGGUCGUAAGAAUUUUGGUUCAAGAGAAAGCGAUUGUCUUACCAACUUGGUGAAGGAAAAGGCCGAUGAAGAUAAACUCUGUGAUCUAAUUGACGAGCAUGGAGAAGAUAUGCCACGUUGAUCAUGAGCUAGUCCAGUUUCGAGUUUCUUAGCUGCACUUGUGACAGCAGUAGAACUUCACACUAGUUAUGAUUCAUCAGAUUUUCACAAGGCUAAAUUUUCUGGACAUGCAAAUGAUAUUCUAGAUUCUAGUUUCUGGUUCUACCAUACAGGCUACACCAGUUGUUGGGUUUGGAGAUAUUUUCUCUGUCCCACCAAGAUUUCCCCAUGCCCUUUAUUUCACCUCUGUCAGAGUUGGUUCAUUUGAAAGCAUGUGAAGCUCUUUUUUUUCCUUCUCUUGAUUGCACAUGGAUUGUCGAGUGAGGGAAAUAUGCCAUAAAUGGAAUCGGGCAAACUCAAUGGGACAUCUGUUUUAUGGGGCAAUCGCAGUGGUAUGGAGGGAGUAGCAUUCUUAUUUCCGUCACUCUAUCAGAAAAGUGAAGGUCGCUAUACCGGGAGUUAUUGAUUGGGAUAGGAAAAGGAGUGGGGGUCAUCUGGAGAAGCUUGAGUCUGAGGUUGGGGAUCUUCAAAGUUGCUUGUCAUUCACGCUCUCAAACUCAAGAAGCUUGAAUUUCCGUGUAAACAUGUAUAAUAUCAAAGUUACUGCUCCAUGCCUCCAUGUUUUUCCAUGAACAUAUUUCCUUUUGAAUACUCCUCCUUUUAUAGCGAGGACUCGGAUAAGAAUCUACUCCGUAUAUUCACUUAAUUUUUAAUAAAAAAAUGAAUGCACUAUUAUUCUAUUAGAUAUAAUUUCGAGAAGUUUCCAGAAAAAAAAAGAUUUAGAUUUGAACCAUUUCCUGAUAGUCUCCUCAACAAAAUCAAGCCUUAGUUUUCUUUGUAUUUGCUCUCUUUGUUUGAACCACAAAAUCUAUCAUCGCCCUUCGUGGAUUUGCAACCCACAGAAAUUUUAAUCCAGUUCAUCCAAAAUUAGCCGUUUCAAGCCACCCUCUCUUCUUUCGUGUUCAUUGAUAAUCAUCUGAUCUUCUUUGGAAAGAAUCACUCAAGAAACAACAACUUCAUUAAAUCUCUUGCUUCUGCGUUUCUUGAAACCAUGGGUUUGGAUUCACAGGUAGACGACAUUGUUGAGCUCGAUCUUGGGAGGAGGGACCUUCAAAACAGUUGGGUUUAAUGAGCUCAAUGGUGUAGAUAUUGCUUGGAAUAAAGUCGAGUUAUCAGAUAAAAUAAUUCAAGUCAAAAGAACAACUUGACAGUGUGUGUGCGGAAGCCAGUUUGUUGAAGUCUUUGAAGCAUGAGAACAUCAUGAGAUGCUACCAUUCGUGAGGUCGAUAAAGAGAAGAAGACAGUUCACAUGAUUACUGAACUCUUCAUCUCAGAAGAUAUGAGUCAGUACCGCAAGAAACAUAAUGUUGUUGAUAAAAAGGGCGAUCAAGAAUUGGGUUAGACAAAUUUUGAAAGGAUUAGAUUAUCUUCACUGUCAUAAUCCUCCAAUUAUUAACAAUUGUGAUAGCCUCUUUGUGAAUGAGUUACAGCUCGAUCUUCUGGUGAGUUCAUGGCACCAGAGCUUUUUGAAGAAGGGUAAUGAUCAGCUGGUGGACAUUUAUUCAUUUGGGAUGUGUUUGCUACAGAUAGUCACCCGGGAAUUACCAUAUAGUGAGUGCACUAACUCGGGUCAGAUUUAUAAGAAGGUUAUCACUGGAAUAAAACCUGCUGUUCUUGGAAGGGUGACUGACCCACAGUUGAAGCUGGUUCAUUGAGUAAGUGUUUGGGUUCAAGUUGCGAAGGAAUGAGGAAGGAGAAUGACUCAAUAUAACGACCCUUCAGAUUGGUGACAUGAAGGUCAUACUAAAAAGAUCAAGUUUGUGUUAUUUCCUAAAAGUGAUACUAAUCACUCGGUUGUGGAACAAGCUAGUGGUGAAGGACUAUGUUACUCAGACUUAGGUACUAGCGUCAGACACAGGUACGUGUCCAAGUGUCCGACACGGCUAAAUUGUGGCAAAAUUUCCUAAAAUUAAGUGUCGGAGUGUCUAUACCCAUAUAUGAGUGUCGAGGAUCCGACACGGGUACUUGAGGUAAAACAAAGAGUCUGAGUAACAUAGGUGAAGGAGCUCUGAGUUGUCAGCGGAAGGUGAAGCCCUUACGUUAGCAUAUGGGAAAAUUGGUUAGGAAACUUGUACCAGGUUAUAAUAACUGCAGUAAGAUUCUUCCAAGACAUCUUCAUCAAAGAGUAAGUACUCGAGUGGCAGCAGUCAGCAGGUGGUAUCGUACGAGUAUGUUGGGUACCCGGUAAUGAACACCCCUAGCUAGGGUGUAUGAUGUUCCCUGAAUAUUUUAAAAAAUAUGUAUAUAUACACGCACGGAGAAAAAGUAUCCCUAUGAAAACUAAAACUUAAAACAAGGAUCUCAGCCGACUUAGCCUAAUCCAUCAUGACUUAGGCGUACACCAGUGCAACCGGCUGGAGCCUGGAGGUAGAGAUGUAAAAAACUCAUCCGACCUGAAAAACCGAUCUAAAUUGAUCGAAUCCGCAACCGACUAUAACUUGAAAUUUUGGUAAAAUAGGUAAGCCGAAAUCCAACCUGUACCCGGUCCGAAAAAGCCGAUAACCAAUUUUAACAGAUGUUGUAUGACCAGAAUCCGAACCCGACACCCGACUGAAAGAUGACCGAAAAUAACUGAACUGACCCGACCGAAUAAUGAUCCGAACCAGAUUCGAUAUUCGACCCGAAAAUGACCAAUUAACCCGAUUUUUACCGCAUAACUUGUUAGUGACUCGACCUUAAAUAUUUUACGCUUGAAUUUUUUGAGAUGACCAAAUCAGUUAUUUACUCUAUCUUAACCCGUGUUCGAUAGUGAACCCGACCCGAAAAUUAUCCAAUCAAACUUGAUCCCCAAACCCGAUUCAAACCAACUGUAUAAGACCUAAAACCGAAAUUAAACCUGAUCGGAACAUGACGUAACCCGAACCCGACUUGUACCCGAAAUAGAGAAGAACCCGACAUGACCCGAGCGAAAACCAACCCCCCCGAACCCGAGUGAUAAAGUGAUCCAAUACGACCCAACCUGAUCCGAGAUGACCCAUCUCGGAUCCAACCCAAUGAACUGUUUUUACGGCUCUAGCCGGAGGCCCAUUAAAAGUCCGAGUUCAUACCUUUUAAAAUAAAAACUACGGAGAUAUACUGCCCAUUUGGCCGAUUUGGGGGUGGGGUCAAAGGGAAAGAAAAUGGCGCCAAUUAGACCAUCGUCAUACCGGGAUUAUUCGAAAUUUCAUUUUCACGUCUUCUUGAAUCGGAAAUCCAAUUUGGAAUAAGAACAAAAUUAAUGGCAGAUCCGCAAAACACUUUAGAGAGCAAAUUGCAGAGUGAGUGAAACUAUCACGCAAAAGAAAUUGUAAUUUCAACUUCUCUUUUACUUUGUAUCUUA